AAGUCGUAACAAGGUUUCCGUAGGUGAACCUGCGGAAGGAUCAUUAUUGAAUUUUGAAGCGGGACGCUUGAGCUGGCACUGCAGGUGCUCAGCGGCUCCAUUCAUUCCAAUUCAAACACCUGUGCACCUCGAGAACACGUGAGUUGGGUUAUUGGAUCUGUGGUUCAGUUAUUCACUUAUUUGGGUUGAACUUAGUGAAAGUGGCCCGCUUUCGUUUCUUAUUACAAACUCGUUAUAUUGUUUUGUAGAAUGUAUCGCCUUGAAUUAGGCAAAGUCUAAAUACAACUUUCAACAACGGAUCUCUUGGCUCUC
rnacentral:misc_RNA from 1 species